rnacentral:rRNA from 1 species
GACGAACGCUGGCGGCGUGCCUAACACAUGCAAGUCGAGCGAUGAAGUUUCCUUCGGGAAACGGAUUAGCGGCGGACGGGUGAGUAACACGUGGGUAACCUGCCUUGUAGAGGGGGAUAGCCUUCCGAAAGGAAGAUUAAUACCGCAUAAGAUUGUAGUUUCGCAUGAAACAGCAAUUAAAGGAGCAAUCCGCUACAAGAUGGACCCGCGGCGCAUUAGCUAGUUGGUGAGGUAACGGCUCACCAAGGCGACGAUGCGUAGCCGACCUGAGAGGGUGAUCGGCCACAUUGGGACUGAGACACGGCCCAGACUCCUACGGGAGGCAGCAGUGGGGAAUAUUGCACAAUGGGGGAAACCCUGAUGCAGCAACGCCGCGUGAGUGAUGACGGUCUUCGGAUUGUAAAGCUCUGUCUU